GGUUCCGUAGGUGAACCUGCGGAAGGAUCAUUACCGAGUGCGGGCUGCCUCCGGGCGCCCAACCUCCCACCCGUGACUACCUAACACUGUUGCUUCGGCGGGGAGCCCCCCAGGGGGCGAGCCGCCGGGGACCACUGAACUUCAUGCCUGAGAGUGAUGCAGUCUGAGCCUGAAUACAAAUCAGUCAAAACUUUCAACAAUGGAUCUCUUGGUUCCGGCAUCGAUGAAGAACGCAGCGAACUGCGAUAAGUAAUGUGAAUUGCAGAAUUCAGUGAAUCAUCGAGUCUUUGAACGCACAUUGCGCCCCCUGGCAUUCCGGGGGGCAUGCCUGUCCGAGCGUCAUUGCUGCCCUCAAGCCCGGCUUGUGUGUUGGGUCGUCGUCCCCCCCCCGGGGGACGGGCCCGAAAGGCAGCGGCGGCACCGUGUCCGGUCCUCGAGCGUAUGGGGCUUUGUCACCCGCUCGAUUAGGGCCGGCCGGGCGCCAGCCGGCGUCUCCAACCUUAUUUUUCUCAGGUUGACCUCGGAUCAGGUAGGGAUACCCGCUGAACUUAAGCAUAUCA
rnacentral:misc_RNA from 1 species